rnacentral:lncRNA from 1 species
AAAACUUGAUGUACUAAAUGUUGAAAACCACGAAACAUGAGGGUAGUAAACAGUCUUUUACCCUAACUUAUAUUACCUUUUUAUUAAAGGAAAAUUAAUGAAAAUGAUUUGAAAACUUUGAGUUUUUACCAAAAGGACAAAAUGAUGUUGUAAGUGAAUGAUAUUAGGAAUGACUUUUUAGAGUAAAAAUAUCCUUAACGUUAAAAGUGAAUAAUACAAGAAUUGUUUUGUUAAGACUUCCUUUUAUUAAUGAAAUUUAUUUAGUUUGACCCAAACAAAAAAAUUAACGAUCUUCUACAUAUUAUAGUCUGCAACCAUACAAUUGGAAAAUUGAAAUUAAAAAUAAUCAAAUUAUAGAAUUUUUUUUUUUUGAUACAUCGAUAUUUUUACACAGAGUGGAGAGGAAGUUCGGUAAAGCCACACAAUAGGCAACCUAAUUUGGUAUCAAUUUAUCAUCCACAAGAUUCGAACCUAUAAUCUCUUACUUCCAAGUAAAAAGUGAGAAUAAAAUUAAUUUACAUGAAUGAUGAUUAUGAGAUCAUUGCUUAAUCGCUUGCACGUUACGUUUAUACCCAAAAGGGAAAGUUGCAUAAGGAAGUUAAUUUACAAGUUCUCCUUAUAUGGAUAUUUAUAGCAAUUGGAUUAUCACUCGAUUAUUGAUUAAUGCGCUUAUUUUUUAUUAGUGACAUAUUUGGUUUGCAAAUUUAGUCGUUCUAGUAUUAUUCUAAUCUAAAAGGGCUUUUUAUAUUAGCAUCCUACAAAAUGUUGAAUGCACCUCACAUUAAAAUUUAAUAUUAAUGACUUAUUUACUCUACUAUGCAAUGACAAUUUUGACAUUAUUAGGUUUAAAAAAUAAAAAUAAAAAUAAUUUUUAACGUAAUAUUUAUCUCCUUCAACUAUCAAAACCCCUUACAUCCUCCAUUGUUGAAUAAAACUCUAAGCAAUGAAACUACAAACAUGUUGAUUAAGAAAAAUUAUUUUUGACGAAUGGAACACGAAAUUGGUGUUUCGAAAGCUUUGAAAUCAUUAUUAUUGUUAUUGAAAAACAUUCAAAUGAACCUAAACAUUUUUUCAAGUCAUUCAAUUAGAAAUCAUUCGGCAAACUAAAGUUUAGAUGGUUUGAAAUCAUUCGGCAAAAUUAAAAAUGACUGUUAUAAGAUUUGAGAAAUGCUGGGUGUAUAAAAAAUGUGGGGUGUGCAUAGAAAAUGUAAGGUGUGUAUUAAGAAUGUAGGGUGUGAGGGUAUUAUGGGGAAGGAAGUGGGGUGUAUUAAGAUAAUUUUUAAUUGAAAAAGUAAAUGUGAGGUGUAUUAAGUAUGUGGGUUUAUUCAACAAUUUGUGGGAUGCUAAUAUAAUAAGCCAUAAAAUUGCACAAGAGUUUGCAGAAAGGGAAUAUGAUAUGCGAAAAUCAUUUUUCUGAAUGCAAAGCACGGAAAACAAUUUUUUACUUUUUGGUUUGGGAAAUUUUAUUUAGACCUGUUUAUCCUUUUUCUACAUCCAACUUAUUAUAUUUUAUCUUGAAAUUCUAAAUGUGCCCAAUAAUCUCUUUAUACACCCAACAAGAACAAAAAGAAAAUAAUAAUAAUUUAGCAAUAGGCAACUCCAGCUAUCCUAUCUCUUCAAACCUCAACCACUCAGUUUCUAACCUCCCCAACUCCCCACCGCCACCUCCCUUACCACCUACAACAAUUUGGAAAUUAGAACAUUAUUCCCAACACCCGACAAUUAAAAAACCCAAAAUAAACAUGUCAAUAUUUUAUUUAUUUUUUGGAAAAAUUAAAGGAAAACUAAUGAAAAAAGCUUGAAAACUUUGAAUUUUAACGAUAAGGACAAAAUAAAUAGUAAAGUGAAUAGUACUAUGAUUGACUUUUUAAUGUAAAACUGUGAUUUUUUGUUAAAGUGAACAAUACCGGAAGCUUUUCGUUAAAGUUCCCAAAAAUUAAUGGUAUUAUUAACAUAUGGUUCAACACAAUUAGAUUCGAUACGAUGACAAUUUCAGCAUAAUUCGGACAUGUUAGAAGGAUUGCAUGGAAGAGAGAGCUAUUGUGUGGCCGGUGAAAGGUCGGGAAAGUGACAUUGAUGGUUGAGAUCUUGGGGGGUUUCAUUGUGGGUGAUAAGAAGAUGGUGGUGAGGGGUUAGGGAGGGGUAGAAAUUGGGGGUGGUGAGGGUUUGGAGUGAUGGCAUGGCCUGGAUUUUCUAGUGUUGGAAUUUUAUAUUUUAUUUUUUUUGUUCUUUUUCAUUAUAGGUAUGGAAAGAAAAUUGUUGGGCAAAUUCAGAAUUUCAAGAUUAAAAACUAUAAGUUGGGUGUAGAAAGAGGAUAAAUGGGUCUGAACCCAUAUACAUAUACAAGAAAUCAAUCAAAUCAGUGAUGUUUAUAGAUAUAAACAUGAAAUUACCUAGAAAAAAUUUGUUUGAGCUGUGAUGCCCAGUCGCUUAAUCUUCAAAUGUUAGACCAUCUCUAACCGAAUGAGGGUCAUCUGACUCAUUUUAGUCAUCUCGCCCUCCAAUAAAUUAAUAUUUUAAUGAAUAGUAUAAGACCAUAUUUCUUACCAUCUCCAAUUGAGGGCCAAAUGGCCAUAGGGCCAUAGGGCUCGUUUAGCCAUGUCACAAAAAAUCGUAUCCAACCGAGGGCCAAAGGGCCAUAGUAUGAAAUGUGAAGAAUUGAAAUAAAAUAAGGUAAAAUAGUAUGAAAUGGUGAAAAAUAUGUAAGAAAUGGUGUAGGAACAAAAUUAGAAAAAAAAAAAAAGUGGGCUAGCCUGGCCAGCCGGUUGGCCCUUUGACCAUUUUUUGUCCCGUGGGGCCUCGAGCCCUUUGGCCUAACCCUUGGUUGGAGAUGGUUUUCGGGUUAUUUUCGGCCAUCUACCCCUUUGGACCCUUCGAUUGGAGAUGGUCUUAAUACUUAGGUAAUCGUCUCCAAAAGCCAAAGCAUAAUGGAGAAGGGCUGCCUAGAAAACACAUAAAUCCUCACUAUCAAUAGCUUUACUUUUUUUUUUUUCUCAACAACUGUCGUUUAUAAGAUUUAAACUUAAAAUUUAUUCUCGUCUAAACACCCGUAGUGGAAAAGUUGUACACCCAACAAACUCUCUCAAAUUUAAGAGAAACUUACCUGAAAAUUUUACUGUUAAACUAAUGGUUCGUUAAAAAUCCAAAAGCUAAAAAUUAUGAAAUGUUGUAAACAUUCCUAGUUUAAGUAUGAUUGUGUAAAUCCUAGAUAAGAUUUGAUUCUAGUUAUCCUUUCCUA